rnacentral:rRNA from 1 species
UUAAAAAGCUCGUAGUUGGAUUUCUGUCAGGGCGGCCGGUCCGCACUAUGUGCGUGUAUCUGGUUCGGUCUUGGCAUCCUCUUGGGGAUCGUUCGUGUGCUUGAUUGCAUGCGACGGAAUUCAAGACUUUUACUUUGAGGAAAUUAGAGUGUUCACGGCAAGCUAUCGCUUUGAAUACAUUAGCAUGGAAUAAUAAUAUAGGGCGUAAGUUCUAUCUUGUUGGUUCAUAGAAAAUACGCAAUGAUUAAUAGGGAUAAUUGGGGGCACUCGUAUUAACGCGUCAGAGGUGGAAUUCUUAGAUUGCGUUAACGACGAACUACUGCGAAAGCAUUUGCCAAGGAUGUUUUCCAUUGAUCAAGAACGAAAGUAUGGGGAUCGA